rnacentral:lncRNA from 1 species
AAUGGGGAAAACUGUUGUAUGGGAUGCUGGUGAACAAGGUACCGGUGAGUAGGAUACGGUCUCUGAGGCACUGGUGUCUGGUACCAUUGGUUCUGGAUAGGUAAGUGAUACCUCUGUCUUUCAAUGUAUUCCCUUGGACCAUGGUAAUACAUUUGUUGAUCUAUUGCAUAAAAGCUUUCUUGUUGGUCAUAAUUAACUGGUCUUGGUCUUGGAUUCACCAGUGGGGGAAGUUGCUCU